UACGUAGGGUGCAAGCGUUGUCCGGAAUUAUUGGGCGUAAAGAGCUCGUAGGCGGUCUGUCGCGUCGGCUGUGAAAUCCCGAGGCUCAACCUCGGGUCUGCAGUCGAUACGGGCAAACUAGAGUAUUGCAGGGGAGACUGGAAUUCCUGGUGUAGCGGUGAAAUGCGCAGAUAUCAGGAGGAACACCGGUGGCGAAGGCGGGUCUCUGGGCCACUACUGACGCUGAGAAGCGAAAGCAUGGGGAGCGAACAGG
rnacentral:rRNA from 1 species